rnacentral:tRNA from 1 species
CAGAGAAUAAUUUAAUUAGAAUGUUAGCUUUGGGAGUUAUUAGUGGGAGUUAAAAUCUCUCUUCUUUGA